rnacentral:rRNA from 1 species
CCCUUAGAUGUUCUGGGCCGCACGCGCGCUACACUGACGAAUGCAACGAGCUUAUAACCUUGGCCGAAAGGUCUGGGUAAUCUCCAAAUUUCGUCGUGAUGGGGAUAGAUUAUUGCAAUUAUUAAUCUUCAACGAGGAAUGCCUAGUAAGCGCAAGUCAUCAGCUUGCGUUGAUUACGUCCCUGCCCUUUGUACACACCGCCCGUCGCACCUACCGUUUGAAUGGUCCGGUGAAGCCUCCGGAUUGGCGCGCACCUCGGUGCCGCCGAGAAGUUGGCUAAACCUUACCAUUUAGAGGAAGGUGAAGUCGUAACA